rnacentral:rRNA from 1 species
CUUGCUCCACCGAAAGAAAAGGAGUGGCGAACGGGUGAGUAACACGUGGGUAACCUGCCCAUCAGAAGGGGAUAACACUUGGAAACAGGUGCUAAUACCGUAUAACAAUCGAAACCGCAUGGUUUCGGUUUGAAAGGCGCUUUUGCGUCACUGAUGGAUGGACCCGCGGUGCAUUAGCUAGUUGGUGAGGUAACGGCUCACCAAGGCAACGAUGCAUAGCCGACCUGAGAGGGUGAUCGGCCACAUUGGGACUGAGACACGGCCCAAACUCCUACGGGAGGCAGCAGUAGGGAAUCUUCGGCAAUGGACGCAAGUCUGACCGAGCAACGCCGCGUGAGUGAAGAAGGUUUUCGGAUCGUAAAACUCUGUUGUUAGAGAAGAACAAGGAUGAGAGUAGAAUGUUCAUCCCUUGACGGUAUCUAACCAGAAAGCCACGGCUAACUACGUGCCAGCAGCCGCGGUAAUACGUAGGUGGCAAGCGUU